AAUGCCUCCAGAAAGCUGUAAAAGAUCCUUACCCUAUUAUUUGCUGACCAUGUGCUUUUAAACUAGGAGUCUGUGCUAAGUGUGGAAAGGAAGAAGAAAUUGUAAUUCUCUAUGUUUAAUAUUAGUUACAUCAUUGAGCAAAGUUCUGGUCUGCAGAAAGCUACUGCUUUAAGGACAAAACCACUGAGUCAUGUUAUUCUACAACUGGGACUACUUUGCCCCUUCCUAAAGAGUACUUUGAUACUCCACUAAAGUCACCUGAGCUACAAGGUUUCACAUGAGAAAAGUAAGCAAGAGACUAGCAAACAAAACCCAAAACUCUCAAAUCCCAGUCUCAUGCCUCGCCCCUUGGAUUUUGCUGCCUUUCAUGUGAUUUUUACAUACAAUGUGUUAAGAAGUAUGACUUCAUAUAGACUAAGAAUCUAAAGAAAGAAAUUAGUUCUUAUUUCCCCUUAAUAGAUGUAGAACAAUGAAAAAAGGGAUAAAAUAAGUUAUUGCAUUAAAAAUACUACAUCUGUUUAUAUUUGCUCACCAGUGGUAUACAAUGAAUCGCUGAAUGAGGAAACUUUUCUAGUUUUCCUUUUAAUCACAUCCUCAUUUUUCUGUCUCAAAGAAACUCCCUUACAACACCAGGUGUCACUAUAACAAAGUGAAAAAGUUGGCUUAAAAGUUGGCUUCAUAGUCUUCACCUUGUUGGAACUUGGGGGGGCUUUCUGGGGACCCUCUGAGGAACUAGAGGGCGCUUGCUGCUGACAGGGAAGAAGAGCUAGGCAAGGACAGCUACAGGAGACCUUAAUGUCUCCUGGGAAGCUCUAGCUAGGUGGAGCUGCUGCUAACAAGCUCUGUUGGUUGCCCCUGAUCAGAGGGAGUUGGGGCCUUUGUUCCAGCUGGCCCUUGAUUAGGGUGGGUCAAGCACCCUGUGAGUCAGUGCUAGGGAGAGGCCUAUAUAAGAGCCAGGCCCAGAGCACAGCUCCUGAAGUGCAGUGAACAGAAGCAGCAGUUUGUGCAGCAGGGUGCAAGAAGGCCCCUUUGUCUCCAGUCAUAGUAGUGUAUGCUUCCUUGGGUAUGGUUAUGACAUGCUGCAGAGUGUGUUCCCCAGUAGCUGUUGGAGUUGUUGUGUCAGAGGCUUCUACCCAGACAGACCUUCUGGCAGUGGAUGCAGCCCUGCAGGUGUCAGGCCUGGGCUGACAGUCAGCUUCCCCUGCAGAAGGUGUGCUGUGGUUGAUGAGUUGUAUUGCCAGGUCAAGGAGCUAUGGGAGGAAGUAAGCAGGCUAUGUGGCAUCUGAGAAGAUGAGCAAGAGAUAGGAUAUUCUCAGAGACCCUACAGGUUCAGGAGUCUCACCAAUCCUCCACAGCAGUGGAGAUGCGGGUGGGCUCUGUGCCAUGUGAAACAGUAAGUCAUGAUUCCAUAGAAGAUGAAGGCUGGAAACUGGUCACUUCUUGUAUGAGGAGAAAGGCUCUUGCUCUUCCUGAAGACUUG